rnacentral:rRNA from 1 species
GAUGAACGCUAGCUACAGGCUUAACACAUGCAAGUCGAGGGACCGGCGCACGGGUGAGUAACACGUAUCCAACCUGCCCUUUACUCUGGGAUAGCCUUUCGAAAGAAAGAUUAAUACCCGAUAUAAAGGAUGGGGAUGCGUUCCCUGAGGUUGUUGGUGCGGUAACGGCUCACCAAGCCUUCGAUGGAUGGGGGUUCUGAGAGGAAGGUCCCCCACACUGGAACUGGGACACGAUCCAAACUGUUACCGGAGGCAGCAGUGAGGAAUAUUGGUCAAUGGGCGCUAGCCUGAACCAGCCAAGUAGCGUGAAGGAUGAAGGCUUAUGGGUCGUAAACUUCUUUUAUAUAAGAAUAUGUAUUAUAUGAAUAAGGAUCGGCUAACUCCGUGUCAGAGCCGCGGUAAUUC